GACAGAGGGGGCAAGCGUUGUCCGGAGUUACUGGGCGUAAAGGGCGCGGAGGCGGUCUGCGGCGUCGGCGCUGAAAGCGCGCCGCUUAACGGGGCGAGUCGUGCCGAUACGCGCAGGCUCGAGGAGAGCAGAGGGUGGCGGAAUUCCGGGUGGAGCGGUGAAAUGCGUAGAGAUCCGGAGGAACGCCAGUGGGGAAGCCGGCCACCUGGGCUCGACCUGACGCUGAGGUGCGACAGCGUGGGGAGCAAACCGG
rnacentral:rRNA from 1 species